GCUAUUUCACAAUGAAACACCAGUUCUCGGGUGAUCACCCAAGUUAAGCAACAUCGAGCCUGAUCAGUAUCUAGAUGGGUGACAGCUUGGAAAUACCAGGUGCUGUU